CUAGGUCACCCGAGCCCAGGCUGCAGCGUUCUCACCGUGAAACAGAGCAGCCAGAGCAGCUGCUGAGGAAAGGCCCGCAGCAAGGAGUGUGAGGCGGGCCCCUCCGCCGGUCACAGACGCACCCUAAAUGAAAACCCUCAUCGAUGGCUGGCGUGUGGCUCGGGUGCACGCGCAUUCGGUAACCACAUCAGUGCCACUGAGAGGGGGGAAGUGUGACACACGCCACCCGUGCCUUUCCUGCGCACCAACCCGCUCUCAUCCUCAAGAAAAGCCCUUCCUUACAGGGCCCUUCCCACCACAGCUCCAAGGAAAGCACAGCCCUGCACGGCACACGGAUUGUACAGCAGUAUCUCCACUUACAGGAAGGGCACCAACAUCUCAUACUUCAUGGAAAGCACCUCGCUUCCUCCUCCAAAUAACCCCGUGAAGAGACUAUUCUUCCUCUAUAAUGCAGCUUCACAGCUGGUCAACUCAAAGACCAUGCUCCAAACCUCACAGCUACCUUCAAAGACCACUUUUCCCCCAAUAAAAUUCACUGGAGAAACCU